rnacentral:rRNA from 1 species
UGAGCCAAGUUUAGGGUUUUCUCAAAACCCAAGCAGUAUUGAACUGAAGAGUUUGAUCAUGGCUCAGAUUGAACGCUGGCGGCAGGCCUAAC